CCCGGGCCGCUUUGAGGCCACUGGCUGAGACCCGGGCCCAGCGCCCCGCAGCGUCCGCCCUCGGCCCGCGGGGUUCUCCCUCACGCGGACCUGCCACGUGGCCUGGACGGAGGCCGUUCGGCCUGGGCAUCAGGAUGAAGCCUGGUCCUGGGUCUACACUGGGGCGGGCCCUGUCCCUGGUGAGCAGAGCCACAGCUCCCUGGUCUGCAGCUGUGAGGAUGCUCCAGGCCUAGGGACUCGGACAGCACCAGGAAGUCUCGCCUGGGAUUAGCGACAGUGUGACCCGCGAGAGUAAUUACUGCUUACCCGCUCCGAAAUUACCAGCUUCGGUUCUCUGACCUGCCCAGGGCUUCUUCCUGUCCACGCCCCUCCCUGCUGCCCCCCUCCCGUGCCAAGGCCAGGGCCCCGUGCCGGCUUUGGCAGAUUUCGGGUGGCCUUCAGUGAGCUGGCGCCGCCCGCUCUGGGAGUCCCCACCCUGCUUCCUCGCCAGGAACCCCAAGCAGGGCCCACUUCCCUCUUCUUUGCACCCCAAGGAACCCCAGCGCUGCCUGGACCUGGGACUGUCUCUCCAGCGUCCUGCUAAGCAAACACCAGUGUGGCAUUUCAAGGUGACAGGUAAACACAGGGCCGCUGGUCCCGCCCAGCCGCUGUGAGAGGACGAGCGGGUCCGGGCUCCCCAGCGAAGCGGAGGAAGACGUCGGGAGGGCGGGGGACCCGCGGGCCAGGCCCCUCCCCGACCCACCGCCUCCGAAGCCGCCUCCCUGAGCGGACCCUAGGGGUCGCUGCGAGGUGAGAUCUGAGCUCCGCCCUGCCAAGUCCUGCAGAGGGCCCUGACGCCGGCGGUGGAGGAGACCGGACUUCGGCUGGGGACCCGGUGCACCCGGGUGCGUGGGCAGAGCCGCAGCAAGGCGGGCGGGGAGCGCUGGUAGGGAAAGGCGCGCUGGUUUUCAAGUUUCGGGCUCCUUUGGGUCCUUUACCAAGAACUGCCCUCCUGUCCACCACCCUCCCAGGACGGAGUCUUCCCCGGCCCCGGGGGUUUCUAAGUGAAAACCCCGAAAUAAUUCUCCAGGAUUCCGAGGUUCUGCUGCCCAGAGGCCUCAAAGGAGAAAGAGGAGGCUGGGGAGGGGACAUUUGGAGUCAGGGCCCCCGCAUCCAUGUGGCCCCGGUUGUCUUCCUUGCGCGUUGUCAUCCACGCGUGGACUGUGCCAUGGACCCCAGCCCGGCCUCCGCCCGGCCGCGCCCUGCUUUAGGAGUCUGGGUAGUGAUCAUCAGGACUCUGCACCUUUCCCCAGUAGGAGCUGGGGUGUCACCCGCUGGGGACCGGGCCAUGGACAAGUACUGGGUGGUCGGUGGUGUCCAAGGAGACCCUCGCCGAGCGCAGACUGCAGCCCCACGCGUGGAACCGUCUGGGCACCCGGGCCCCUCGAGGCCUGGACCCGUGAGUGAGGCCCUCUGUGCUUGUGGCUGGAGUCGCCGGGAGCUCAGGGAGGCAACACCCAGCCCCCAGGCCCAGAGGCACAGAAUGAUCCCCAGGCGUCACAGUAGGACGGUCCCCAAGCCCUCAGAGUGGCCUGAGCUCCAGCGAGCGCGGUGGGGCCUGCAGGACCACAGUGUGGCUGUCCCGAGUGUCACAGGAAGCGCAUUACAUGCGUGUGCACACACGUAAAUAUUUUAUAAAUCUCCCCUUAAUUAACCAGAUCAUCUCCAUUACGCCUCCGACAGGAUCGGCAGCGACGGCGAGCAUUUUCAGGGUUUAUAAUUUGAUGUCACCAGACGGUUGCUCCGGGGCAGAGGCACAAUUGCCGUGCCAGCUGCGCUUGUAUUUAUUUGUUUUCUGCGGUGUUCCUGUAGGGCUCCAUUAUGCAGUUUUUAAUUAGUUUGUGUUUGUAUUUCACCCGUCCCAAAUCAAUGCCAUCCCGGAGCAAGGCGAUGUAAAUUCUUGCAGUACAGGUGUUGCAGCCUGCUCCGUACACCAGCGAACGCGUGUCUGACAAAUGAAAGCCGGGCUGCCAUGCAGCGGCUGUCAGCUCUCCCCAGCCAGAGUCGCAGAUCAAAGCCCUGGGUGAGAGGGUGGGGAGGCAGCCCUGAGCCGCCCAAGGGGAGCUGGGCGGGCGGAGCCUUGUGGGCGCUCGCUCUGCGUUUCCCUGGGGUCCUGGGAUCCUUUAGCUGUUGCUGCUCUGUGCUGCCCUUGAGGCCUGGAGGACAGGGCUCUGGAGGCCCGGCCCGGAGCAGGGCGUCCUGCCGUCACGGGGUCUCUCUAACUGAGGAGCAGUCACCAGCAUAGUCUUGCACAGCCAGCCCCUCGCUGAGUUUGCUGGCUUUUCUCUCUUGAAACGACUUCCUUGGAGAGCAUUCAAAUCUGGCCCUCUUGUCACAGGGGGAUUCUUGCAAAGCUUUCUUUCUUUCUUUUUUCUCUUUCUGUUUUCUUUUUUUCUUUCUUUCUUUUUUGGUUAGGAAUAAGAGCCUGUUCAUCUUUAACUAGGCCAAUAGAAAUUAUGAUUCAACAGCAGUGUAUAUUUAAUUAGGGUAAUCUCACUUGAAUUUAAUUACCUAAUGAAUUAUUUGUUUAAAAGGUACGACAUCUUGUUUGCCAAGUGCCAGGGAGGCAGGCCUCUGAUAAGGACUUCAGUGCUCAGGGCACUGCAGCGGGAAGCAGGUUCUUCCAAAUCACAACUGACAGUAAUGACCAGAGAGAGCACGUGAGAUACCAGCCGAAGAACAAUAAUAUAUUUGUCAGAUCUGAGCAAACCCAAAGAUGAUUUCCUAGAAGAUCCUCAAAGGGAACAAGUUGUGUGGGAAGGAGGGAAGGAAAAUACUAACUGGUGUGUUCAUGCUCGACUCUUCCCAAAACGUUUGAAAUCGAGACCAGACAGGGUUCCAUUUCCCAUGACUUCCUGUCAGCCCUCAACCUUUCUAUGUUGAAGAUAAAAGCCUGCCUGCUAGAAAUUCCUUUUAGAACUCUGUGGACAUAUAUGCACACAUGUAUAUCCCAAGCAGAUGGUUUAGUGCCUUCCGGUUUUCUGAGAGAUGCAUGUGCCAGACCUCAGAGGGUGAUAAGUUGUGAUCUGUUCACCAGACUCUUGGGGACAUCAGGUCAACAAAAACAUCUGACAAGUUAACAUCAAGGUUGGCAGGUGCAGUGGACGUUCAGGGGAAAGUUUCUGGGGAGCUCUGAAGACUUUUAGGUCACCCACAACUUCCCAAAAAAAUUCUUCUGGAACAAAAUGGGGUGUGAAAUGGAUCUCAGGAGGAAAUUUACACUAUCCCUUCACCCACGGGUCCUUGACUCGUUCUUGCGGUGACUUUGCCUCUCGUUUAGCUGUCCCCAAGGUCAACUCCAGAGCUGCUUCAGAUGAUAGCUCAUGGCUGGAGUCCUGAGCCCCAUCCUUCCUUUGUAGGACCACAUGAAACAGGGCCUCCCCAUCUCCCACCCUUACACCAGCCUGGAGAGGCUGUGUGUACAAAUGUGUGACAGGCCAAAGCAGGGAAGCAUUGAGGCUGGGGCGGGAAAGUUUCCUUCUGCCUGACACACUGCCAGGGGUAAGGGCUCAUAGUGCAGAACACAUCUGUGUCCAAGAAGAAGGCCAAUCGAGGCAGAAUCCACAGUGAGGACGAAGCGCCCCUCCCCUGUCCUCCCUGUUCUGCCCAGUGUCCCUCCAAGACCUUCCAAGCCCACUGUCCCACUGUCUUGCAAAUAACUGAAUGGCUGCCAGGUGGAUCAUAGCUUCAAAAUUUGUAUCCAUUUAUUUGUUUGCAGUACUGGAGGUUGAACCCAGAGUCUUGCCCUGAGCUGCAUCCCCGGACGUUUUCAUGUCCUUAUUUUGAGACAGGGCCUCAUUGAGUCACCCAGGCUGGGCUUGAACUUCUCCUAGCAGUGUCCCAGGUGGACGGCUGACUCUGCAGUGAGGUUUUCUAACCCUUCUCAUGAACAGCUGCUGUUCCCAGCUGCUGCUGCAGCAGAGCCAGGACCUUCAGAGCCCUGCCCUCCGAAUCGGGUCCCCAGCGCUGUGUGAACAAAGCUCUGCGCUGGGCUUUUAGAACAAGCAGCACUCUCUCGCAUCCUGAGGUUGCCUGGGCAGGUUCAGGCUCUGCUGAGCACCUGCCGUGGCGGGGCAGCCGCCUUUACACUGUGUCCUCUGUGCAUGGCCAGGCCUGGCCAGCCGGAGUUCCAAUCUCCUCUCCACCUUCCUUGGUAUUGGGGAAUGGAGCUCAAAGCCUCAGAGCUGCAUCCUCGACCCUUUUUCUAAAUUUUGAGAUAGGGUCUCAUUAAGUUACUAAGUUGCCCAUGCUGGUUUAGAAGCUGUGAUCUUCCUGCCCCAGGCUCCCAGUGCCUGGCUCCAAAUGGUCUCUUUUUAUAGGGACAGCAGUCAGACUGGAUUAAGAGCCAAGUUAAAGCUGCAUUUUAGCAUAGUCACCUCUUUGAAGGCUCCGUCUCCAAAUACAGCCACACUGAUACACUGCAGCUUAGGGUUUCAACAUAGGAAUUUGGGGGAUGGGGUGCAUAGCUCACCCAGGACAGCACCCAGGGCCAAAGACCCCCGCCCCGUGCCAGGCCAUCACCCUGUCCCACACACAGCUCAUGGUGCGGUACAUCCUGCAGCUUUGGGGCAGAAGGUCUGGAAAGAAGCUCGGAAAUUCUCCCUCCAGCCUUGGUAGACUGUGUUAGUCUGCACAUUAAACCCUCCUAACCUUGGCUGUCAUCGAAGGCCGAACUUGCCACUCUGAUGUGGUCUCUGCAACUCCAAGGGACUCUUGUGUUCGUGCAGUUUAUAAGCUCUCCAGAUGGAGAAUGUGCACCCUGGAGGAAAUGAAUUUUGUUCCUGCCCCUGGGGAUGCCUGUGUCUCACCGCACAUCCCCGGGGUGCUCAUGUGCCGACCCUGCCCCAAUCACGAUGCCAUUUAGGGUGUGGGAAUCUAAGCUACCCAUUAAGUUCCAUUUCCUCGGCCUUGCAGAGAAAGAAACCUACAGUGCUUCCCCCAUCGGCUGGGUCCCCUGCUCCAGACUUUUGGGUGUACUUUAGGCUUGGCUGAGAAAAAUCGCCAUAAAAAGAGGAAAUCCACAUGCCCUCCUGCCUCCCCUCGCAGCUGCACUCCUGCCAGCACUGGCGUUUUCACUGCAGCCCUGAUAGUGGUGACGCAGGAUCAGUGAUGGUCCUACAAGCUGAAGACUUGGUGACAUUAUCUAGGGUUGCGUUAAGUGGUUUGUCUAAGGUCGCCCGGCAAGUGGUAAUAAAUCC
rnacentral:lncRNA from 1 species